CGGUAAGGAAGCGGGAGUGACUUAGCGGCGGACGGGUGAGUAACGCGUGGGUAACCUGCCCCAUACCGGGGGAUAACGGUUAGAAAUGACCGCUAAUACCGCUUAAGCGCGCGAGGCCGCAUGGCCGUGCGCGAAAAACUCCGGUGGUAUGGGAUGGGCCCGCGUCUGAUUAGGUAGUUGGCGGGGUAAGGGCCCACCAAGCCGACGAUCAGUAGCCGACCUGAGAGGGUGGCCGGCCACAUUGGGACUGAGACACGGCCCAAACUCCUACGGGAGGCAGCAG
rnacentral:rRNA from 1 species